rnacentral:rRNA from 1 species
UACGGGAGGCAGCAGUGGGGAAUAUUGGACAAUGGGCGAAAGCCUGAUCCAGCCAUGCCGCGUGUGUGAAGAAGGUCUUCGGAUUGUAAAGCACUUUAAGUUGGGAGGAAGGGCAUUAACCUAAUACGUUAGUGUUUUGACGUUACCGACAGAAUAAGCACCGGCUAACUUCGUGCCAGCAGCCGCGGUAAUACGAAGGGUGCAAGCGUUAAUCGGAAUUACUGGGCGUAAAGCGCGCGUAGGUGGUUCGUUAAGUUGGAUGUGAAAGCCCCGGGCUCAACCUGGGAACUGCAUCCAAAACUGGCGAGCUAGAGUACGGUAGAGGGUGGUGGAAUUUUCCUGUGUAGCGGUGAAAUGCGUAGAUAUAGGAAGGAACACCAGUGGCGAAAGGCGACCACCUGGACUGAUACUGACACUGAGGUGCGAAAGCGUGGGGAGCAAACAGGGAUUAGAUACC